rnacentral:lncRNA from 1 species
AAACCCUCUAGAGGAAAUAGGACAGAAAGGUCACACAGAAGCAGUAAAGCCAAUGAUCUCUUAUAAAACAGUUAUUUAGGUUCUCAGUGGCACUGUUCAUCUUCUGGAAGGGAGAUCACUCCAGUCUCUGCCCAUCCCUGUGUCAUCAGCGUAGCUCUGGACUCUUGGAGUAGAAGAAGAAAGCCUAUUCUACCUUGUUGCUGCUGUACACUCAGCUUUCCUCUUGCUGAUGACAUGAUUCCUGUUUGAAUCUGUUGACAAGAUUCUGAAAGCUGAACAGAGAAUUCUGGCACUGCACUGGGUAGGAAAAAGCAUUUCAAGAAAUAGAUAAUAUCAAGGACAUCAGGACACCGGGAGUGGGAGAGAUUGGACUGGGAGACUCAGCAGUGAGGACGAUGUGUUACUUGUUAUGGAGUGACUCCAUUUGCCCAUGCAAAUAAGCACAAAGCCAGGAUAUUAUCAGGCAAUGGCAAAAUUAAGAGAGCUGCAAAAGGAUGGCAGUCAUAAUAUGCAGAUUCUGAUCAAAGGAUUUACUUUAUGGCACAUUUUGAAACACAGAAGAAAAUACAAGGAUUAUUUUGUGUAUUUUUCUCUUCGCAAAAAAUUUAAAGACUGUGGAGAAAUUAACGUUGCUGUUAAUUUCAAGAUUUUACACCAGCAGACUUAUUUCUGCUAUUGGCUACAUUAUGCCAUUCCAGUGAGUG